rnacentral:pre_miRNA from 1 species
AGGGAGUCUGGUUCAACUUAGCCCAGACCUCAGCUGCACAAGCUGAUGGACUGAGCCAGGGAGCCAAGCUCCCU